rnacentral:rRNA from 1 species
CGGAUUUAUUGGGUUUAAAGGGUGCGUAGGCGGUUUGAUAAGUUAGAGGUGAAAUUUCGGGGCUCAACCCUGAACGUGCCUCUAAUACUGUUGAGCUAGAGAGUAGUUGCGGUAGGCGGAAUGUAUGGUGUAGCGGUGAAAUGCUUAGAGAUCAUACAGAACACCGAUUGCGAAGGCAGCUUACCAAACUAUAUCUGACGUUGAGGCACGAAAGCGUGGGGAGCAAACAGGAUUAGAUACCCUGGUAGUCCACGCAGUAAACGAUGAUAACUCGUUGUCGGCGAUACACAGUCGGUGACUAAGCGAAAGCGAUAAGUUAUCCACCUGGGGAGUACGUUCGCAAGAAUGAAACUCAAAGGAAUUGACGGGGGCCCGCACAAGCGGAGGAACAUGUGGGUUAAUUCGAUGAUACGCGAGGAACCUUACCCGGGCUUGAAAGUUAGCGACGAUUCUUGAAAGAGGAUUUCCCUUCGGGGCGCGAAACUAGGUGCUGCAUGGUUGUCGUCAGCUCGUGCCGUGAGGUGUCGGGUUAAGUCCCAUAACGAGCGCAACCCCUACCGUUAGUUGCCAUCAGGUCAAGCUGGGCACUCUGGCGGGACUGCCGGUGUAAGCCGAGAGGAAGGUGGGGAUGACGUCAAAUCAGCACGGCCCUUACGUCCGGGGCUACACACGUGUUACAAUGGUAGGUACAGAGGGCAGCUACCCAGCGAUGGGAUGCGAAUCUCGAAAGCCUAUCUCAGUUCGGAUUGGAGGCUGAAACCCGCCUCCAUGAAGUUGGAUUCGCUAGUAAUCGCGCAUCAGCCAUGGC